UCUAGCUCAGAACUCAAGGGCCAAACUGUUGAGAUCCCCUCUAGUAGUGUGAAAAGCUUGAGAUUAGACUCCCAUCAUUAGUUGCAUUUAAUUUUUCCCAUGAUUGUCAAAACUCGGUUUUAGCAACAAUAGAUUUUGUGUUCCUUCUCAAUUACCGCUAUCGUUUUUGAAAUAUGCUAAUUGUGUUUAUAUACUCCCACGACUCCCACAUUCACACUUUCACUCCUCACUACUU
rnacentral:lncRNA from 1 species